AGCAGCCGCGGUAAUUCCAGCUCCAAUAGCGUAUAUUAAAGUUGUUGCAGUUAAAAAGCUCGUAGUUGAAUUUCGGGAUUAGUGCGCUAGUCAUGCCUUUGGUAUGUACUGGUGUUACUGAUUUCUACCUUCUGAAGAACCGUUAUGUCAUUUAUUUGGUGUGGCGGGGAAUCAGGACUGUUACUUUGAAAAAAUUGUGUGUUUAAAGCAGGCUCGCGCUUGAAUACAUUAGCAUGGAAUAAUGAAAUAGGACGUUUGACCCUAUUUUGUUGGUUUCUAGGAUCGUACGUAAUGAUUAAUAGGGAUAGUUGGGGCAUUAGUAUUCAAUUGUCAGA
rnacentral:rRNA from 1 species